UACAGGGGGUGCAAGCGUUAUUCGGAAUUACUGGGCGUAAAGGGCGUGUAGGUGGGCAGACAAGUCAGAUGUGAAAGCCCCGAGCUUAACUUGGGAAUUGCAUUUGAAACUGUAUGUCUAGAGAUUGGGAGAGGGAGGUAGAAUUCCUGGAGUAGAGGUGAAAUUCGUAGAUAUCAGGAGGAAUACCGGAGGCGAAGGCGGCUUCCUGGCCCAAGACUGACACUGAGACGCGAGAGCGUGGGUAGCAAACAGG
rnacentral:rRNA from 1 species